rnacentral:rRNA from 1 species
GUACGGAAGGCAGCAGUAAGGAAUAUUGGUCAAUGGACGGAAGUCUGAACCAGCCAUGCCGCGUGGAGGAUGAAGGUCCUCUGGAUUGUAAACUUCUUUUAUAGGGGGCGAAAAAAGGCCAUUCUUGGUCGUCUGACGGUACCCUAUGAAUAAGCACCGGCUAACUCCGUGCCAGCAGCCGCGGUAAUACGGAGGGUGCAAGCGUUAUCCGGAUUCACUGGGUUUAAAGGGAGCGUAGGCGGGCUUGUAAGUCCGUGGUGAAAGCCCUCAGCUUAACUGAGGAACUGCCAUGGAUACUAUAAGUCUUGAAUGAUGUGGAGGUUUGCGGAAUAGGUCAUGUAGCGGUGAAAUGCUUAGAUAUGACCUAGAACACCUAUUGCGAAGGCAGCAGGCUACACAUAAAUUGACGCUGAGGCUCGAAAGCGUGGGGAUCAAACAGGAUUAGAUACCCCUGUAGUCU